AUGCUGCUGCUGGCAGCACUAGUGGCCUCAGCCGCUUGGUCUUACGGAUUUGCACAGGAAAUUCCCAUGCAGAGGCCUAUAUCCAUCACCAAAUUCCAAAAAGAUGUACAGAUGACAUGUGAAAUUAAAACAUUAGGAGCAAAUUUUGGUGGCAACGUCAUACACUGGUACCUGCAGAAGGAGGGUGAAGCUCCACAAAGGCUCCUGUAUUAUUUCGAAGGAAAAGCUACCGUCGAAAGAGGAUUUCAAUCAAGCAGAUACAUGGUUCAAACAAUUCCUGACCAGAACUGGUGUUUUCUUAGAAUAAAAGACAUAAUUCCAGAUGAUGCUGCUACUUACUACUGCGCCUACUGGGAUCCUCACUUGUGGAACACCUGGAUCAAAUACUUUGGAACCGGGACAAAGCUAAUUGUCUCUA